GGGAAAUAAACAAAUGAAUGUACCAUGACAAGAAAGGAUCGGCUAACUUCGUGCAGCAGCCGCGGUAAGACGAGGGAUCCUAGCGUUGUUCGGAAUCAUUGGGCGUAAAGCGGGCGUAGGUGGCUAUUUAAGUCAGUUGUGAAAAGCCUGGGGCUCAACCCCAGAAGUGCAAUUGAUACUAUUUAGCUUGAGUGUGGAAAAGGUAACUAGAAUUCCUGGUGUAGUGGUAAAAUACGUAGAUAUCAGGAGGAAUGCCGGUUGCGAAGGCGGGUUACUAGUCCAACACUGACACUGAGGCCCGAAAGCGUGGGGAUCAAACAGGAUUAGAUACCCUGGUAGUCCACGCCAUAAACGAUGAAUACUCGUUGUUGGAGGUAUUGACCCCUUCAGUGACUAAGCUAACGCGUUAAGUAUUCCGCCUGGGAAGUACGGUCGCAAGAUUAAAACUCAAAGAAAAUUGACGGG
rnacentral:rRNA from 1 species